AGAGAAUCACUUGAACCCGGGAGGUGGAGGUUGCAGUGAGCCGAGAUUGCGCCACCGCACUCCAGCCUGGGUGACAGAG
rnacentral:snRNA from 1 species